UACGUAGGUGGCGAGCGUUGUCCGGAUUUACUGGGCGUAAAGAGCGCGCAGGCGGUCGUACAAGUCGCGUGUGAAAGCCCCCGGCUCAACUGGGGAGGGUCAGCGCGAUACUGUUCGACUCGAAGGCAGGAGAGGGUAGUGGAAUUCCCGGUGUAGUGGUGAAAUGCGUAGAUAUCGGGAGGAACACCAGUGGCGAAGGCGGGUUGCUGGGCCGACACUGACGCUGAUGCGCGAAAGCCAGGGGAGCGAACGGGG
rnacentral:rRNA from 1 species